ensembl:lncRNA
AAGGAAGCGAGGGGGAAACACCCAUCCAUGUCACUUGGUGGUCCAGUUGUCUCCAUGGGCUCCAGCUGAGAUUUCAGUCAACUCUGGAGUUGCUCAACAGCUGUGCUAGGGGCUGUACACUCAUCAUGAGACAAGUGGUCUUCCCUGCAACUGAAGGAGAGAGAAACAAGAGCUGGAUGUGAAGAACAAUUAGCAAUGGCCUGGGAUAAAAGAGUUUGUUACAGCUGGGGAUGCGCCAGUCUGAGGAGAGAGGAAGGGGAGGCAGGUG